CAGGCCUUAUCCUCUCAUUUCAUCGUGCGCUCGUCGACUUACUCAUACCGCGCUUGCUCAAACCACAAACGCAAGAUAUGCUGGCACUCAGGUGAGGACGUGCAGUAGUGUUGGCUAUUUUAGAGUUGCUGUUGCUAUCGUCGUUCCAAUUGUCAUCAAUGUUCCAAUUGCCAAAGGGAGAACUUCUUGUUCACCAGGGCUUCUUAGGAUGCUUGUGCUGACAGAUUUUUUUUAUUAUUAAAACAUCGAAGCUGUUAAAAUUACGACAAGUAUGCAAAGCACAGUGGUGACAAAAUGGAUGCCAAGCAAAGGUCAAGGAAGGACAACAGGAAGCUAUUUCACAUUAAUUAAUGCCUUAGCAGAAGGUUAUAGAUUGGAUGAAGCUGAAGAACUUUGGAUAAAAUUGUUAAUGCAGAACAUGGAAAGCUUGUCUCGUAGGUUCUUUGAUAAAAUGAUAUCCAUCUACUAUAAGAGGGGCAUGCAGAAGAUGUUUGAGGUAGUCGCACAUUAGGUGAGACAAUCCUAACUCCAGAGUAACAUGCUAAUAGUGCAAAUUCUUUCAAGCAACUAGAUCUAAAUGGUGGUGAAAAAUAACUAUGUUAUUUCCUUAGUUUUUUUUUUUUUUUAUAUGUAUGAGAUACUUUUAGAACUCUUGUUAAGUUUAUUACUCUACUCUCUUAUAAUACCACAUGACUUUUAAUAUGUGGUUAACAUAUUGAACCAUUAUGUUAUAACUUUUUAUAUAUGGUUAAUAAAUUGAAUCACUUAUCUUA